rnacentral:rRNA from 1 species
GACGAACGCUGGCGGCGUGCUUAACACAUGCCAGUCGAACGGAAAGGCCCUGCUUUUGUGGGGUGCUCGAGUGGCGAACGGGUGAGUAACACGUGAGUAACCUGCCCUUGACUUUGGGAUAACUUCAGGAAACUGGGGCUAAUACCGGAUAGGAGCUCCUGCUGCAUGGUGGGGGUUGGAAAGUUUCGGCGGUUGGCGAUGGACUCGCGGCUUAUCAGCUUGUUGGUGGGGUAGUGGCUUACCAAGGCUUUGACGGGUAGCCGGCCUGAGAGGGUGACCGGCCACAUUGGGACUGAGAUACGGCCCAGACUCCUACGGGAGGCAGCAGUGGGGAAUAUUGCACAAUGGGCGGAAGCCUGAUGCAGCAACGCCGCGUGCGGGAUGACGGCCUUCGGGUUGUAAACCGCUUUCGCCUGUGACGAAGCGUGAGUGACGGUAAUGGGUAAAGAAGCACCGGCUAACUACGUG